rnacentral:rRNA from 1 species
AACGAACGCUGGCGGCAGGCCUAACACAUGCAAGUCGAACGCUCUCUUCGGAGGGAGUGGCAGACGGGUGAGUAACACGUGGGAACCUACCCCUUGGUACGGAAUAACUGAUGGAAACGUUAGCUAAUACCGUAUGAGCGCUGAGGCGGAAAGAUUUAACGCCAAGGGAUGGGGCCGCGUAGGAUUAGCUAGUUGGUGGGGUAAAGGCCUACCAAGGCGACGAUCCUUAGCUGGUCUGAGAGGAUGAUCAGCCACACUGGGACUGAGACACGGCCCAGACUCCUACGGGAGGCAGCAGUGGGGAAUAUUGGACAAUGGGCGCAAGCCUGAUCCAGCCAUGCCGCGUGAGUGAUGAAGGCCUUAGGGUUGUAAAGCUCUUUCACCUGGGAAGAUAAUGACGGUACCAGGAGAAGAAGCCCCGGCUAACUUCGUGCCAGCCGCCGCGGUAAAAC